UGGUCUUGGUUUCAGGUGCGUGACCGCUUCCUGUUCUGAGGAAUGUAAGGGUUGGGAUCCACGCUGUUGCCAGGCAGCUGCUUGCCCGCAGGUACUGAGCGCUGCAUCUCACAGAACGACAGCCGCACCUCGCAAAUCAAUAUUCACCUGACUAGCCAAAUGCAGCGAAGAGGAAACAAAUUUAAAACAUAUCCGUGCGCAGUCAAUACAUCCUUGUGGAAUUAAGAACCACAGAAUUUUGGAACGCUUGUCAUCAUCAUGGCUGAAGAUGCUGAUUGGGGAGGGGAUGCAGUGACAUCUACAUCAAGUCAACAGAAAGAGCUACAGAGUUUGUGAUCGUCUGUCGACAUCAUGGCUGAAGGUUGUAACUGGGAAGGUGAUUCAGUGGCCUCUACAUCAAAGAAACAAAAAGGUUUGUGAGCCUUCUGUGACAUAUAUA